AAGGGAAAAGGCCCUCGGGAUCCUAGAAUGCAGAUUAAGUCAGACAGCAUGUAGCAAAAUCAAAAAGUUGAGAACAAAAAUUUAAAAAUAAAUAAAUACACAGUUACUUUUACGUUGAAAAAGUUCCCAUGUCAAAACCAAAGUGAAAGGCCAGAUUUAUACUAAGAAAAAAGAAAGCCCUCAAAUCGCAUCGUAGUGUACAGGCUUGUAGUGGUUCCCCAUAGGUCAAAGUAAUUGCUAAAUGUUUAUCUUAAUUGCAUUUCAAGCUAUUACCACAGAUAAUCACAUCUCAGAUGAUCAACAUUCAAGCAUGAUUUUCUUUUCUUCUUCCG
rnacentral:misc_RNA from 1 species